GGCUGGUCUGAAUGCAGUGGUGUUUACAACUAACUGAUCACAACCAAUACAGAGUUCUUUUUCUCCACUCCCACUGCUUCACUUGACUAGCCUUAA
ensembl:misc_RNA Y_RNA Y RNA